rnacentral:rRNA from 1 species
GACGAACGCUGGCGGCGUGCUUAACACAUGCAAGUCGAACGGUGACGAGGAGCUUGCUCCUCCGAUCAGUGGCGAACGGGUGAGUAACACGUGAGUAACCUGCCCCGGACUCUGGGAUAACAGUUGGAAACAGCUGCUAAUACCGGAUACGAGACGGAGAGGCAUCUCUACCGUCUGGAAAGUUCUUCGGUCCGGGAUGGACUCGCGGCCUAUCAGCUAGUUGGUGAGGUAACGGCUCACCAAGGCGACGACGGGUAGCCGGCCUGAGAGGGCGACCGGCCACACUGGGACUGAGACACGGCCCAGACUCCUACGGGAGGCAGCAGUGGGGAAUAUUGCACAAUGGGCGAAAGCCUGAUGCAGCGACGCCGCGUGA